GUUGGGUAUAAAAUACCCACGGUCGAAGUUCUCAGCGGGAUUAGCCCUUGCGAGCUCGGCCCAGACCCCUACGGGAGCCGGACUUCGCCUUUGACUUUAAUUGCAGGAAGACUCCAUCCGGACUCCUACGGGAGCUGGGCUUCACCCUCGACUCCAACGGCUGCAGAUAGACUCCACCCGGACUCCUACGGGAGCCGGGCUCCAUCCUUAACAUCAACUGCCGGUAAGCCCUGUCCCGACUCCAACGGGAGCCAGACUUCACCUUUGACUUUAAAUGCAGGAAGACUCCGUCCGGACUCCUACGGGAGCCGGGCUUCGCCCUCAACUCCAACGGCUGCAGACAGACUUCGUCCGGACUCCGACGGGAGCUGGACUCCGCCGACAACUUCAACCACAGAUAG
rnacentral:lncRNA from 1 species